GACGAACGCUGGCGGCGUGCUUAACACAUGCGAGUCGAACGGAAAGGCCCUGCUUUUGUGGGGUGCUCGAGUGGCGAACGGGUGAGUAACACGUGAGUAACCUGCCCUUGACUUUGGGAUAACUUCAGGAAACUGGGGCUAAUACCGGAUAGGAGCUCCUGCUGCAUGGUGGGGGUUGGAAAGUUUCGGCGGUUGGGGAUGGACUCGCGGCUUAUCAGCUUGUUGGUGGGGUAGUGGCUUACCAAGGCUUUGACGGGUAGCCGGCCUGAGAGGGUGACCGGCCACAUUGGGACUGGGAUACGGCCCAGACCCCUACGGGGGGCAGCAGGGGGGAAUAUUGCAAAAGGGGCGGAAGCCUGAUGCAGCAACGCCGCGUGCGGGAUGACGGCCUUCGGGUUGUAAACCGCUUUCGCCUGUGACGAAGCGUGGGUGACGGUAAUGGGAAAAGAAGCACCGGCUAACUACGU
rnacentral:rRNA from 1 species